rnacentral:rRNA from 1 species
AUUGAACGCUGGCGGCAUGCUUUACACAUGCAAGUCGAACGGUAACAGGCCUUCGGGCGCUGACGAGUGGCGAACGGGUGAGUAAUGCAUCGGAACGUGCCCAGUCGUGGGGGAUAACUAUCCGAAAGGAUAGCUAAUACCGCAUACGAUCUGCGGAUGAAAGCGGGGGACCUUCGGGCCUCGCGCGAUUGGGGCGGCCGAUGUCAGAUUAGGUAGUUGGUGGGGUAAAGGCUCACCAAGCCAACGAUCUGUAGCUGGUCUGAGAGGACGACCAGCCACACUGGGACUGAGACACGGCCCAGACUCCUACGGGAGGCAGCAGUGGGGAAUUUUGGACAAUGGGCGCAAGCCUGAUCCAGCAAUGCCGCGUGCAGGAAGAAGGCCUUCGGGUUGUAAACUGCUUUUGUACGGAACGAAACGGCUCUGGUUAAUACCCGGGGCUAAUGACGGUACCGUAAGAAUAAGCACCGGCUAACUACGUGCCAGCCGCCGCGGUAAUAC